rnacentral:lncRNA from 1 species
GAUUAAAUAAUUGAGACAAUAGCCUUGUUUAAGGAAUUGAGCAAUGUGAGGGAUAUUGGUGAAAAAUGUGCGUUUUAACUUUAUGUUUUGGUGAUUAAUAGUUAGUACACUGUAUUAUAUAAUUAGAAAUAUUAUGAAAUGUUUUAAUUUUAUAUUUUAUCAUGGCAUAUCCAUACGUAUAUUCCUAGCACAUAAUUAUUGUGAACGCUCUGAAGUGCAAAGGUGAAAGCAGGACUCACAUGUAAGUUCAUGUAAGUUCAAGUAAGUAUAUGGUAUUAGUUGAAUUGAUGGGGUUAUGAUAUGACUACAUUUACGUUUUAGGCAACUCCGACAUUGUCGUACAGGUUGCAAUAGUAGGAAACUCCGGCAUUGUCAUACAUGUUUCCUACGAGUCGUACAUGUUGUAUUAGAUGCAUUUAAAGCUCAUAAACCUGCACCCCGAUGUUAGUGCUCCCGCCCGUAGCCAGGGCUUUCACGUGAUGUUCACCUCCCGCACCAUACGCUCAUCUUGGAUCCAAGUUAGGUGCAUAGUCUUGUUGUACAUACCACUAUAGGUGGUUCCGACUCAUAGGUGACCUGCGAUCACUCACACAGCUUUCACGUGAUUGUAGCACUAGAGCGUAUACAUUCACACCCAGGCCUGUCGUACAAACCACUACAGGUGGUUCUAACUCGUGUGCAGAUGUAGUGUCGUACAGGUCACUAGAGGUGACUCCGGCUUAUAUGCUAGCAAUGAUUGAUGAGCUAUGAUUUCAUUCGUACAGGUCACUAGAGGUGACUCCGGCUUAUGUGCUAGCAAUGAUAGAUGAACUAUGAUUUCAGUCGUACAGGUCACUAUAGGUGACUCCGACUUAUAUGCUAGCCACAAUUGAUGAGAUAUGUGAUGAGAUAUGGAUAAGUCGUACAAGUCACUAUAGGUGACUCCGACUUAUAUGCUAGUCACGAUUGAUGAGAUAUGGAUAAGUCGUACAAGUCAUUAUAGGUGACUCCGACUUAUAAGCUAGCAUAUGUAAUGAAUACGUGAUGAGCUAGCAUAUGUGAUGAAUAUGUUAUGAGCUAGCAUAUGUGAUGAAUAUGUGAUGAGCUAACAUAUGUGAUGAAAUAUGUGAUGAGAUAUGGGUAAGUCGUACAGGUCACCCUAGGUGACUCCGACUUGCGUACUAGUAUGAGUUAUUAAUCGCAUGAUUAUUUGAUAUUAUUGAUGAGAUGUUGUGUUGUGGUAUAUUAUGAUUUUUUUUUGGAAAUUAUACGGGUGUUGUAGCGAGGGGUUAUAAUGUUUAUAUGGUUUCUAUUAAAAUCUUACUUACAGGGCCACUCAACCAUGUCUUGUCUUCACCCUCCAGGUUUUAUUAGCUGAGCUUUCUUAUCGCUGAAGAUUCGUGGCGAAUCUUAGUAUCGAAGACUAUUUCGAGGGUACGAUUCUUAAUUCACUCUUCUAUAUUUGCUUAUGCUCUAACGUCACGUGUGAAAUGGAUUCAUUCCCGCUCACCGAUGCACUCUAGUAUUUAGGCACUCUUAGGUUUAAAUUUAUUCAUAUUUUUUCACAUCAUCACACUUUAUGGCUACGUCACCUUCCAGGUGUCGGCCAACACAACUCGAUUUGGAAUCCUAGUGGACAUUCUGGGUCGGGGUGUGUCAAUAUAUAGGGGCAGAAUCCAUGGCAGCAUAUUUUUUACACAAGAUUUGACUCACACUUUAGACCAUUAGAUUAGCCUACUUUUAAUGGUUGAGAUGUCAUGGCAAUUAAUUUUUUUAAGUAUUUAAAAAAAUAUACAUUAGAAAUUAAAAUCUAAAUUUGUUUAAUUAUGACUUUAAUUCUCUCUCUUAAAUAGUUAAUUGUGUUUCGACUCUCUCAUACUCCCCUUAUCUUCCUUUUUUUCCUCUUCUUUGUCAAUCCUCAUAUAU